AAGACCCCUGAUCUGAUCUUCUUCUUAAAAACCUUAAGAGACUUUGAACACCCCGAAGCUAGCGGCGACCCUUGGAGAAUCGAUCAAUUCUCUCAAUUUUGAGAGUUGUGAUCGAGAUACAGAGAACAUAAAAAACCAGCAACCUCACACGAACCAACGACCCCUUCUUCUUGACCCCCUGAAACUCUUCACCCCUACACAAAAAUCAGAUGCCACCAGCCGCACACCCCACCUCAACGAACUCCAGCAGCAACGACUAACCUUCACUCGCCAGAAGCAGCACCCACUCAAAUCCGACCACACACACACACGCAGAUACACAGAGAAAGAAGAUGGGGGGAUUUUUGGUUUCUGAAUUUUUCUUUUCUGAUUUAAUGUCUUAGUUUAGAUAUAAAGAAUCAGCUCUAUUAGAUUUCACAAUCAAAAAUACAAAAAAACUUUGGUUUCUUCUGUUGAUUUAGAUUUCAAAGAUGGAGUUCGUUUGAAGUAUUUGAUCCGGAGUUCCGUCUGAAGUUGGAAUCUGCCGAGGAGAACAUUUCUGCUUUUUCAUUUGGUUCUGAUUUUUGGUUUUCGAGUAUGUGAAUGGAGUUAAGUCGAGGUUGAUUCGAGUUCAUACCCGAUGAUAGAUUCGUCAUAUUUUCGAUUUCAAAACCAUGAAUCAAUCAAAUUUCAGAUUCAUUGAGGUCUAUUUCUUCCUUUCCUAUUCCGUUUUUGCUUAAUAUCAUGUUUUUACUAGUUCACUAAUUUGUCAUUGCCCUGUUUCGCUAAAUAUUAAAUUGAUGCUUCUUUGCUCUGUUUUGGGAUACCUUGGCUACAUUUGUUUACUCCAUUCUGUUGCAGGUCAUUGUUUGUGCAUUUAUUUUGGUUUAAUCCGUUCAGAGUUUUGAUGGCUAGAAUAAGUUUUUUUUGAUUCCAUACUUUAUUGCUUCAUUAAGAGAUAAUUAUUUUAGGCUUCACAAUUACUACUUUGAUAACAAAAGAAUUAAGUCAACGAAAUUGAGUAGAUUAAUUAAUUGCUUGGAUGUUUGAAAGGUCUUAGGCCGUAGGAGUGGGGAGAUAUUAGUCCAUCAGUAAUUAAUUUUAUUGAUAUGCUUUAGGUAUCGAGCUCGGCCUAAUAAAAUGAAAAGCUAAAAACGAAACAUGAGCACGAUUUAGAAUUUUCUUUUACCUUAUUUAGUUUUCUUUCAUUUGUUUAUUUAACUACAUUGUCCGCUAAGAGCAUGCUUAGGUCAUCAUUAUUCGGGUAGGCAAAUCGUAGGUCGCUUCUUUUAUUCGAGGCAAGAGGUCGCUUCCUUUAGUUUAUUAUCCAGGGAAUGCCCCAUAGACUUUGUAUAUAUAUUUUAUCCGGGGUAUGCCCCAUAGUAUCGUGUAUUUGAAGGCCGUGUUUAUUUUCGCUUUUGUGUGUUUCUACCUCGAUCUGAGUAUUCUUUAAAAGCCAACUUGAUCAUCUAUGCAACUGUACCAGUUACGCGACUCGGAGAAUGCCUAACACCUUCUCCCUGAGUCAAAUGAACCCCCUAACCUUGAAUCUCUGGUGCAAACUGGUUUAAGAGUCAAAUGUGUUUUGAAGGGAAAUUGUUAUUUAAAAAAAACGGUAACCUGGCACACCAAAAUCAAAUGUCAGGUGGCGACUCUGAAAAUCCUUCGAAACACAAUCUUUUUGUCACUUUCAAUUUGGAAAAUCCUUUUGAGCUUCCACAAUCACUUUAUUUAUUUAAAGAGGGUUAAGUAAAAAAGGGGUGUGACAGCUCUGGCGACUCUACUGGAGAGUUGCAGGUUCAAGCUGAUACUACGAUCUUGUUGGCUUUUUAGAAUAUUCGGUUGAGGUUUUUAUGUUUUUAUUAGCUUUAUCUGAUUUUUAUUAUGUUUUUAUACUUUGUUAUUAUUUUCUAGUUGUUUAUAUGUUUACAAUUUUCUUUUUAUGCAUUUACUGCUUUAUAACUAUCAUCAUUUGCAUAACCCCGGGUCUUUUUUCUGUAACAAGUCUUCUGGAGUACGUUUGAGCGUACACGGCCUUUUUGUGAGUCACAUGUGUCUUUAGGGGAGUGGCAUGAGAUCAUGGAGUGGGCGGACAGCUAAAGCCACCAUCAUCGACCACGUGUCUGAAUUGCCUUGUCUAGUGAACCCCAAACGUAGGUCAGCCUUUAGGUCAUGCUUAUUUGCAUCAUAUCAUUUAAACCUAGCAGGGCUCGGUCCCAGGCACCGUGUCUCGUUGUCGGAGGCCUAUCCAAAUUAUGUCAAAAUGGGCCUGUGGCCCAAAAAAACAUUUAAUCAUCCCUAUGUGCUACAUGCUACAUGCUACAUUUUUUUAGGGUAAGUGGGUCAUUUGGCGAACCAAUGAGGUAAAAAGAGUUUGAGGUAUAAAAUGAAGCAAGUAGGGCCACUCACUUUUUUUCUUUCACGAUUUUCCCAAAAUCUAAAAAAAAGGAAAAAAUAAAGGCCGGACCCCAAAGCCAAGAACCCCCCGGUCUUCCUAGUGAGUCUUAGGUUCUUGGUUUUGAGGGUUGUAGCCAAAUCUAGCAUGCCUAGCCACUUUUGGCCACAUCGGUUGUUUUUGCAAAAUAUGGCUAUUUUCUCUAAGUAGUUUGUUAUCACAUGUCUUGAAGCCCUGAGUCUACAUCAAUGUGUCCUCUCAGUUUUAAGGUCCAUUCCUGUUGAAUUUGCAUGUCUAGCCAUGCAUCGGCCAUUCUUGCAAAAUGGGGUCAUUUUCGCAAAAGUGGUUCAACGACCCAUGUCUUAGGAUCUUGAGUCCACAACUAGGCGUCAUAUUACUUUAAGGUCCGUCCUUGUUGAAUUUGCAUCUCUAGUCGUGUUUGGCCAUAUCGACAUUUUCACAAAAUGGGUUAUUUUUGCAAAGUAAUUUCUAGGGCCAUAAUUAUUGGGAGCUUGAAGCCAUAUAAGCCUUAGUGAGGUAUUUCCAUGUAUUUGAGGUCACCUUUGUUGAGUUUGCACUAAUAGCCACCUUUGGCCAUGUAGGCCCAAUCACGUCUUGCAUGUGUCCAAUAGGAGGUGUUGUGGCGUCGCAUUGUGUCUCGAGUCACUAACUCAAUUUGGUCUUAUUUGUCUCAUUUUGAUAUGGAUCAGUAAACUAGAGCUCGAGCAUGACAGAUACCCCGGGACCAUCGUAUUUGGGAGCUUGUUUGAAGAGACUUUUUAUAUUUUUGAGUAUGUGCAUGUUUUCUUUUACUUUCUUGUCUUGUCUAGUAGUUUUGAGUCUUUUAGGUGGUGUAAGAGUUUGUCAAGUCUUUUGUCG
rnacentral:lncRNA from 1 species